CCUACGGGAGGCAGCAGUGAGGAAUAUUGGUCAAUGGCCGGAAGGCUGAACCAGCCAAGCCGCGUGAAGGACGAAGGUGCCAAGCAUUGUAAACUUCUUUUGUCAAGGGACAAAAUCAGGCUCGAGAGCCUGACCGAGGGUACUUGAAGAAAAAGCAUCGGCUAACUCCGUGCCAGCAGCCGCGGUAAUACGGAGGAUGCGAGCGUUAUCCGGAUUUACUGGGUGUAAAGGGAGCGUAGGUGGCAUGGUAAGCCAGAAGUGAAAACCCGGGGCUCAACCCCGCGGAUUGCUUUUGGAACUAUCAGGCUGGAGUGCUGGAGGGGUAAGCGGAAUUCCUAGUGUAGCGGUGAAAUGCGUAGAUAUUAGGAGGAACACCGGUGGCGAAGGCGGCUUACUGGACAGAAACUGACACUGAGGCUCGAAAGCGUGGGGAGCAAACAGGAUUAGAUACCCUGGUAGUC
rnacentral:rRNA from 1 species